GGGUUGUGAGGUUAAGCGACUAAGCGUACACGGUGGAUGCCCUGGCAGUCAGAGGCGAUGAAGGACGUGCUAAUCUGCGAUAAGCGCCGGUAAGGUGAUAUGAACCGUUAUAACCGGCGAUUUCCGAAUGGGGAAACCCAGUGUGACUCGUCACACUAUCAUUAACUGAAUCCAUAGGUUAAUGAGGCGAACCGGGGGAACUGAAACAUCUAAGUACCCCGAGGAAAAGAAAUCAACCGAGAUUCCCCCAGUAGCGGCGAGCGAACGGGGAGGAGCCCAGAGCCUGAAUCAGCAUGUGUGUUAGUGGAAGCGUCUGGAAAGGCGCGCGAUACAGGGUGACAGCCCCGUACACAAAAGCGCAUGUGUUGUGAGCUCGAUGAGUAGGGCGGGACACGUGGUAUCCUGUCUGAAUAUGGGGGGACCAUCCUCCAAGGCUAAAUACUCCUGACUGACCGAUAGUGAACCAGUACCGUGAGGGAAAGGCGAAAAGAACCCCGGCGAGGGGAGUGAAAAAGAACCUGAAACCGUGUACGUACAAGCAGUGGGAGCACCCUUCGGGGUGUGACUGCGUACCUUUUGUAUAAUGGGUCAGCGACUUAUAUUCUGUAGCAAGGUUAACCGAAUAGGGGAGCCGGAGGGAAACCGAGUCUUAAC
rnacentral:rRNA from 1 species